AUACGGAGGGUGCGAGCGUUAAUCGGAAUUACUGGGCGUAAAGGGUGCGUAGGCGGCUUGAUAAGUCGGAUGUGAAAGCCCCGGGCUUAACCUGGGAAUUGCAUUCGAUACUGUCAGGCUAGAGUAUGUCAGAGGUUGGCGGAAUUCCUGGUGUAGCGGUGAAAUGCGUAGAUAUCAGGAGGAACACCAGUGGCGAAGGCGGCUAACUGGGAAAAUACUGACGCUGAGGCACGAAAGCGUGGGGAGCAAACAGGAUUAGAAACCCUAGUAGUCC
rnacentral:rRNA from 1 species